rnacentral:tRNA from 1 species
GCCGGGGUAGCUUAGCACAGGUAGUUGCUUAACCUAUAGCGCCGGGCUGUUAACCCGGUGGUCGCAGUUCCCCAUUGAAGGUGGAGUGAAAGUUCGAGAUGGAUGCCACGAAAAUCCUGCCCCCGGCGCCA